UGGGGAAUAUUGCACAAUGGGCGGAAGCCUGAUGCAGCGACGCCGCGUGGGGGAAGAAGGCCUUCGGGUUGUAAACUCCUUUCGACAGGGACGAAGCUUUUGUGACGGUACCUGUAUAAGAAGCACCGGCUAACUACGUGCCAGCAGCCGCGGUAAUACGUAGGGUGCGAGCGUUGUCCGGAAUUACUGGGCGUAAAGAGCUCGUAGGUGGUUUGUCGCGUCGUCUGUGAAAUUCCGGGGCUUAACUCCGGGCGUGCAGGCGAUACGGGCUGACUUGAGUGCUGUAGGGGAGACUGGAAUUCCUGGUGUAGCGGUGAAAUGCGCAGAUAUCAGGAGGAACACCGAUGGCGAAGGCAGGUCUCUGGGCAGUAACUGACGCUGAGGAGCGAAAGCAUGGGUAGCGAACAGG
rnacentral:rRNA from 1 species